UGAGGAAUAUUGGGCAAUGCCCGCAAAGGUGACCCAGCAACGCCGCGUGGAGGAUGAAUGUCGUAAGAUUGUAAACUCCUGUUAGAGGGGAAGAAUAGUACCGGUUGGACCGGUAUAUGACUGUACCCUCAGAGAAAGCCCCGGCUAACUACGUGCCAGCAGCCGCGGUAAUACGUAGGGGGCAAGCGUUGUCCGGAUUUACUGGGUGUAAAGGGCGCGCAGGCGGGAUAAAAAGUCAGUGGUGAAAUCCUACAGCUUAACUGUAGAAUUGGCUUUGAUACUUUUAUUCUUGAGGUCGGGAGAGAGGGACGGAAUUCCAGGUGUAGUGGUGAAAUACGUAGAUAUCAGGAGGAACACCUGCGGUGUAGACAGCUUUCUGGACCAAAACUGACGCUGGGGCACGAAAGCGUGGGUAGCAAACA
rnacentral:rRNA from 1 species